AUCACAUGCCGCGUGUGUGAAGAAGCCUUCGGGUUGUAAAGCACUUUUGGCGGGAACGAAAGGGCGCGUGCUAAUACCAUGCGUUGAUGACGGUACCCGCAGAAUAAGCACCGGCUAACUACGUGCCAGCAGCCGCGGUAAUACGUAGGGUGCGAGCGUUAAUCGGAAUUACUGGGCGUAAAGCGUGCGCAGGCGGUUUUGUAAGACGGAUGUGAAAUCCCCGGGCUCAACCUGGGAACUGCAUUCGUGACUGCAAGGCUAGAGUGCGUCAGAGGGAGGUGGAAUUCCGCGUGUAGCAGUGAAAUGCGUAGAUAUGCGGAGGAACAUCGAUGGCGAAGGCAGCCUCCUGGGAUGACACUGACGCUCAUGCACGAAAGCGUGGGGAGCAAACAGGAUUAGAUACCCUGGUAGUCCACGCCCUAAACGAUGUCGACUAGUUGUCGGGUCUUCAUUGACUUGGUAACGCAGCUAACGCGUGAAGUUGACCGCCUGGGGAGUACGGCCGCAAGGUUAAAACUCAAAGGAAUUGACGGGGACCCGCACAAGCGGUGGAUGAUGUGGAUUAAUUCGAUGCAACGCGAAAAACCUUACCUACGUUUGACAUGUCAGGAACCUUGAAGAGAUUUGAGGGUGGCCGAAAGGGAGCCUGAACACAGGUGCUGC
rnacentral:rRNA from 1 species